rnacentral:rRNA from 1 species
UAACAAGGAUUCCCCUAGUAACGGCGAGUGAAGCGGGAAAAGCCCAGCACCGAAUCCCACAGCCUUGCGCUGUCGGGAACUGUGGUGUAUAGGUAGCCUACUUGUCGUACGUGUUCGGGUUCCCAAGUCCUCCUGAUCGUGGCCUCUCCCAUAGCGGGUGUCAGGCCCAUUGAGGCACCCGACGGCGUCGACUCGCAGCUACCUCGGAGUCGGGUUGUUUGGGAAUG